rnacentral:misc_RNA from 1 species
CUAACAAAACCUCGCAUGCUGACUUAACCUGCUCCCUCCGAAACCCUCGCACUGUCACACACACACACGCACACACUCGCGCUCUCUCUCUAUCUCUCUCUCAAACUCACCCAUCUCUUCCAAGAUGAUGAAGCUAUCGAGAUUGCUGCAGCAGUCCAGAGAUGCUUCAAGGUUGCAUGCUCUUACAUUUCAGGCUGGCAUUUCAACUGCUAGGCAGGAUCUUACUGCAAACGAACGUAUAUAUGCUCCUUACUGUGUUUUCAAGGGAAAAGCUGCACUCUCAGUU